CCAGACUCCUACGGGAGGCAGCAGUGGGGGAUAUUGCACAAUGGGGGAAACCCUGAUGCAGCGACGCCGCGUGAGUGAAGAAGUAUUUCGGUAUGUAAAGCUCUAUCAGCAGGGACGAAAAUGACGGUACCUGAGUAAGAAGCCCCGGCUAACUACGUGCCAGCAGCCGCGGUAAUACGUAGGGGGCAAGCGUUAUCCGGAUUUACUGGGUGUAAAGGGAGCGUAGACGGCAGCACAAGUCUGGAGUGAAAUGCCGGGGCUUAACCCCGGAACUGCUUUGGAAACUGUGCAGCUAGAGUGCAGGAGAGGUAAGUGGAAUUCCUAGUGUAGCGGUGAAAUGCGUAGAUAUCAGGAGGAACACCGGCGGCGAAGGCGGCUUACUGGACUGUAACUGACACUGAGGUACGAAAGCGUGGGGAGCAAACAGGAUUAGAUACCCGGGUAAC
rnacentral:rRNA from 1 species